CUGUAUCACAACUGACGCUGAAGCUCGAAGGCGCGGGUAUCGAACAGGAUUAGAUACCCUGGUAGUCCGCGCGGUAAACGAUGGAUGCUCGCUGUUGGGUUUUUUGCUCAGCGGCCAAGCGAAAGCGUUAAGCAUCCCACCUGGGGAGUACGCCGGCAACGGUGAAACUCAAAGGAAUUGACGGGGGCCCGCACAAGCGGAGGAACAUGUGGUUUAAUUCGAUGAUACGCGAGGAACCUUACCCGGGCUUGAACUGCAGGAGAACGCGGCAGAGAUGCCAAGGUCCUUCGGGACUCCUGUGGAGGUGCUGCAUGGUUGUCGUCAGCUCGUGCCGUGAGGUGUCGGCUUAAGUGCCAUAACGAGCGCAACCCCUGUCUUAAGUUGCCAUCGGGUAAUGCCGGGGACUCUUGAGAUACUGCCACCGCAAGGUGUGAGGAAGGUGGGGAUGACGUCAAAUCAGCACGGCCCUUACGUCCGGGGCUACACACGUGUUACAAUGGCGCGUACAGAGUGCCGGCCGUGCGCAAGUACGGUCCAAUCACUAAAACGCGUCUCAGUUCGGACUGGGGUCUGCAACCCGACCCCACGAAGCUGGAUUCGC
rnacentral:rRNA from 1 species